rfam:Aedes albopictus isolate Foshan contig31946, whole genome shotgun sequence.
CCAGUUAGCCUAAUGGUUAAGGCUGUGGAUAGCCAAUCCGGAGAUGGCGGGUUCGAUUCCCGUUCUGG